rnacentral:rRNA from 1 species
AGCGAACGCUGGCGGCAGGCCUAACACAUGCGAGUCGAACGAACUCUUCGGAGUUAGUGGCGGACGGGUGAGUAACACGUGGGAACGUGCCUUUUGGUUCGGAAUAACUCAGGGAAACUUGUGCUAAUACCGAAUGUGCCCUUCGGGGGAAAGAUUUAUCGCCAUUAGAGCGGCCCGCGUCUGAUUAGCUAGUUGGUGAGGUAACGGCUCACCAAGGCGACGAUCAGUAGCUGGUCUGAGAGGAUGACCAGCCACACUGGGACUGAGACACGGCCCAGACUCCUACGGGAGGCAGCAGUGGGGAAUCUUGCGCAAUGGGCGAAAGCCUGACGCAGCCAUGCCGCGUGAAUGAUGAAGGUCUUAGGAUUGUAAAAUUCUUUCACCGGGGACGAUAAUGACGGUACCCGGAGAAGAAGCCCCGGCUAACUUUGUG